AGAGUUUGAUCCUGGCUCAGGACGAACGCUGGCGGCGUGCCUAAUACAUGCAAGUCGAACGCUUCUUUUCUACCGAGUGCUUGCACUCACUUGAAAAGAGGAGUGGCGGACGGGUGAGUAACACGUGGGUAACCUACCCAUCAGAGGGGGAUAACACUUGGAAACAGGUGCUAAUACCGCAUAAUAGUCGACAUCGCAUGGUGUUGAUUUGAAAGACGCUUUCGGGCGUCACUGAUGGAUGGACCCGCGGUGCAUUAGCUAGUUGGUGAGGUAACGGCUCACCAAGGCCAUGAUGCAUAGCCGACCUGAGAGGGUGAUCGGCCACACUGGGACUGAGACACGGCCCAGACUCCUACGGGAGGCAGCAGUAGGGAAUCUUCGGCAAUGGACGAAAGUCUGACCGAGCAACGCCGCGUGAGUGAAGAAGGUUUUCGGAUCGUAAAACUCUGUUGUUAGAGAAGAACAAGUAGGAGAGUAACUGCUCUUACCUUGACGGUAUCUAACCAGAAAGCCACGGCUAACUACGUGCCAGCAGCCGCGGUAAUACGUAGGUGGCAAGCGUUGUCCGGAUUUAUUGGGCGUAAAGCGAGCGCAGGCGGUUUCUUAAGUCUGAUGUGAAAGCCCCCGGGCUCAACCGGGGAGGGUCAUUGGAAACUGGGAGACUUGAGUGCAGAGGAGGAGAGUGGAAUUCCAUGUGUAGCGGUGAAAUACGUAGAUAUAUGGAGGAACACCAGUGGCGAACGCGACUCUCUGGUCUGUAACUGACGCUGAGGCUCGAAAGUGUGGGGAGCAAACAGGAUUAGAUACCCUGGUAGUC
rnacentral:rRNA from 1 species